ACUCCUACGGGAGGCAGCAGUGAGGAAUAUUGGGCAAUGGACGCAAGUCUGACCCAGCCAUGCCGCGUGCAGGAUGACAGCCUUAUGGGUUGUAAACUGCUUUUGUUUGGGAAGAACACUAUGUACGAGUACGUAGGUGACGGUACCAGACGAAUAAGCAUCGGCUAACUCCGUGCCAGCAGCCGCGGUAAUACGGAGGAUGCAAGCGUUAUCCGGAUUUAUUGGGUUUAAAGGGUGCGCAGGCGGAUCUAUAAGUCAGCGGUGAAAUCUCUCGGCUCAACCGAGAAACUGCCAUUGAUACUGUAGGUCUAGAGUUUAUUUGACGUGGGCGGAAUGUAGCAUGUAGCGGUGAAAUGCUUAGAUAUGCUACAGAACACCGAUUGCGAAGGCAGCUCACGAAACUAAAACUGACGCUCAUGCACGAAAGCGUGGGGAGCAAACAGGAUUAGAUACCCUGGUAGUC
rnacentral:rRNA from 1 species